rnacentral:rRNA from 1 species
GACGAACGCUGGCGGCGUGCUUAACACAUGCAAGUCGAACGGUGAAGGGGAGCUUGCUCCCCGGAUCAGUGGCGAACGGGUGAGUAACACGUGGGCAACCUGCCCCAGACUUCGGGAUAACGCUUCGAAAGAGGUGCUAAUACCGGAUACGAACUCCUUGGGCAUCCUGGGAGUUGGAAAGUUUUUCGGUCUGGGAUGGGCCCGCGGCCUAUCAGCUUGUUGGUGAGGUAACGGCUCACCAAGGCGACGACGGGUAGCCGGCCUGAGAGGGCGACCGGAGCGACUGGGACUGAGAGGCGGACCAGGCGCCUACGGGAGGCAGCAGUGGGGAAGAUUGCGCAAUGGGCGAAAGCCUGACGCAGCAACGCCGCGUGAGGGAUGACGGCCUUCGGGUUGUAAACCUCUUUCAGCAGGGAAGAAGCGAAAGUGACGGUACCUGCAGAAGAAGCACCGGCUAACUACGUGCCAGCAGCCGCGGUAA